rnacentral:tRNA from 1 species
GCACCCGUAGCUCAACUGGAUAGAGCAUCGGUCUACGGAACCGAAGGUUGGAGGUUCGAACCCUCCCGGGUGUA